rnacentral:rRNA from 1 species
UACGUAGGGUGCGAGCGUUGUCCGGAAUUAUUGGGCGUAAAGAGCUCGUAGGCGGUUUGUUGCGUCUAUCGUGAAAACCUGCGGCUUAACUGUGGGCUUGCGGUGGAUACGGGCAGACUUGAGUUCGGUAGGGGAGACUGGAAUUCCUGGUGUAGCGGUGAAAUGCGCAGAUAUCAGGAGGAACACCGGUGGCGAAGGCGGGUCUCUGGGCCGGUAUUGACGCUGAGGCGCGAAAGCCAGGGGAGCAAACGGG